CUAGCGGGAGGCCUAAUACAUGCAAGUCGAGCGGUAGAACUAGCUUCGGUUGGUUUGAGAGCGGCGCACGGGUGAGUAACGCGUACGUAACCUGCCCUUCAGUGGGGAAUAGCCCCGGGAAACUGGGAUUAAUGCCCCAUGGUACUUUCGAUCUGCCUGGAUUGAAAGUUAAAGCUUCGGCGCUGAAGGAUGGACGUGCGUCUGAUUAGCUGGUUGGUGAGGUAACGGCUCACCAAGGCGACGAUCAGUAGGGGGCGUGAGAGCGUGACCCCCCACACGGGUACUGAGACACGGACCCGACUCCUACGGGAGGCAGCAGUAAGGAAUAUUGGGCAAUGGAGGCAACUCUGACCCAGCCAUCCCGCGUGCAGGAAGACGGCCCUACGGGUUGUAAACUGCUUUUAUGAAGGAAGAAAGGUUGGCAUUUAUGCUGAUUUGACGGUACUUCAGGAAUAAGCACCGGCUAACUCUGUGCCAGCAGCCGCGGUAAGACAGAGGUGGCUAGCGUUGCUCGGAAUCACUGGGCUUAAAGGGUGCGUAGGCGGCUUAUCAAGCAUUAUGUGAAAGCCCUCGGCUCAACUGAGGAAUUGCAUAAUGAACUGGUAAGCUUGAGGUGCGUCGGGGCCGGAAGAACUCUGGGUGGAGCGGUGAUAUGCGUAGAUAUCCAGGGGAAUGCCAGUGGCGAAGGCGUCCGGCUAGGCGCAAUCUGACGCUAAGGCACGAAAGCGUGGGUAGCGAACGGGAUUAGAUACCCCGGUAGUCCACGCUGUAAACGUUGUGCACUGGUUUCGGGAACCUCUGACGGUUUCCGGAGCGUAGAAAAAUCGUUAAGUGCACCGCCUGGGGACUACGGCCGCAAGGCUAAAACUCAAAGGAAUUGACGGGGGCUCACACAAGCGGUGGAGCAUGUGGCUUAAUUCGAGGCAACGCGAAGAACCUUACCUGGGUUUGACAUGUACGGAUGCCCCCCUGGAAACAGGGUGUGGUUGCCCUCGUGGUGAAACGUACACAGGUGCUGCAUGGCUGUCGUCAGCUCGUGCCGUGAGGUGUUGGGCUAAGUCCCGUAACGAGCGAAACCCCUAUCUUUAGUUGCCAGUUCCGAUUUAUCGGAAGGCACUCUAACGAGACUGCCGGCGUCAAGCCGGAGGAAGGUGGGGACGACGUCAAGUCAUCAUGGCCUUUAUACCCAGGGAUGCACACGUGCUACAAUGCCAGGUACAAAGUGACGCGAAGCCGCGAGGUGGAGCAAAUCGCAAAAAACCUGGCCCAGUUCAGAUUGCAGUCUGCAAUUCGACUGCAUGAAGUCGGAAUCGCUAGUAAUCGCGUAUCAGCAAUGACGCGGUGAAUGUGUUCCUGAGCCUUGUACACACCGCCCGUCAAGCCAUGGAAGCUGGGACCACCCGAAGUCAGCUUAGCGAAUCCCUCGGGAUAGCGGUUGCCUACGGUGUGCUCGGUGACUGGGGCUAAGUCGUA
rnacentral:rRNA from 1 species